rnacentral:tRNA from 1 species
GCAGGGGUAGCCAAGCCCGGCUAAGGCGCUGGACUUGAGAUCCAGUGGGGCCUUGCCCCGCCUGGGUUCAAAUCCCAGCCCCUGCG